AACGAACGCUGGCGGCAGGCUUAACACAUGCAAGUCGAACGGGUGUAGCAAUACAUCAGUGGCAGACGGGUGAGUAACACGUGGGAACCUUCCUAGAGGUACGGAACAACGCAGGGAAACUUGCGCUAAUACCGUAUACGCUCUUGCGAGGAAAGAUUUAUCGCCUUUAGACGGGCCCGCGUCGGAUUAGCUAGUUGGUAAGGUAACGGCUUACCAAGGCGACGAUCCGUAGCUAAUCUGAGAGGAUGAUCAGCCACACUGGGACUGAGACACGGCCCAGACUCCUACGGGAGGCAGCAGUGGGGAAUCUUGGACAAUGGGCGCAAGCCUGAUCCAGCCAUGCCGCGUGAGUGAAGAAGGCC
rnacentral:rRNA from 1 species